GACGAACGCUGGCGGCGUGCCCAAUACAUGCAAGUUGAGCGCUGAAGGUUGGUACUUGUACCAACUGGAUGAGCAGCGAACGGGUGAGUAACGCGUGGGGAAUCUGCCUUUGAGCGGGGGACAACAUUUGGAAACGAAUGCUAAUACCGCAUAAAAACUUUAAACACAAGUUUUAAGUUUGAAAGAUGCAAUUGCAUCACUCAAAGAUGAUCCCGCGUUGUAUUAGCUAGUUGGUGAGGUAAAGGCUCACCAAGGCGAUGAUACAUAGCCGACCUGAGAGGGUGAUCGGCCACAUUGGGACUGAGACACGGCCCAAACGCCUACGGGAGGCAGCAGUAGGGAAUCUUCGGCAAUGGACGAAAGUCUGACCGAGCAACGCCGCGGGAGUGAAGAAGGUUUUCGGAUCGUAAAACUCGGUUGGUAGAGAAGAACGUUGGUGAGAGUGGAAAGCUCAUCAAGUGACGGUAACUACCCAGAAAGGGACGGCUAACUACGUG
rnacentral:rRNA from 1 species